AGUGAACGCUGGCGGUAGGCCUAACACAUGCAAGUCGAACGGCAGCACAGUAAGAGCUUGCUCUUACGGGUGGCGAGUGGCCGACGGGUGAGGAAUACAUCGGAAUCUACUUUUUCGUGGGGGAUAACGUAGGGAAACUUACGCUAAUACCGCAUACGACCUACGGGUGAAAGCAGGGGAUCUUCGGACCUUGCGCGAUUGAAUGAGCCGAUGUCGGAUUAGCUAGUUGGCGGGGUAAAGGCCCACCAAGGCGACGAUCCGUAGCUGGUCUGAGAGGAUGAUCAGCCACACUGGAACUGAGACACGGUCCAGACUCCUACGGGAGGCAGCAGUGGGGAAUAUUGGACAAUGGGCGCAAGCCUGAUCCAGCCAUACCGCGUGGGUGAAGAAGGCCUUCGGGUUGUAAAGCCCUUUUGUUGGGAAAGAAAAGCAGCAGGUUAAUACCCCGCUGUUCUGACGGUACCCAGAGAAUAAGCACCGGCUAACUUCGUG
rnacentral:rRNA from 1 species